rnacentral:rRNA from 1 species
UACGGAGGGGGCAAGCGUUGUCCGGAUUUAUUGGGCGUAAAGAGCGUGUAGGCGGCCAGGUAGGUCUGGUGUGAAAACUCGAGGCUUAACCUCGAGAUGUCAUCGGAAACCAUCUGGCUAGAGUCCGGAAGAGGAGAGUGGAAUUCCUGGUGUAGCGGUGAAAUGCGCAGAUAUCAGGAAGAACACCAAUGGCGAAAGCAGCUCUCUGGGACGGUACUGACGCUGAGACGCGAAAGCGUGGGGAGCGAACAGG